rnacentral:rRNA from 1 species
AAUAUAUACAAUACCGAAGUAUUCGGAUAAAAUUCUGGAUAGGUUUUUAUAAUGACAUUUCCUAUCCAUAUGUCUUGACCAAAUUUUGUGCCAGCAGUCGCGGCAAUACAAUAAAGACUAGUGUUAUUCAUGUUUAGUCGGUUUAAAAGGUAACUAGACGGUAAACCAAGCCUUAAUAUAAAACCAGAUAUUAAAAAUAAACGCAGGUAUAUAAAAAAGAAUAUGCCAUGAUAGUAUGUUUUUUUUAAAGGGACUAGUUUACUAGAGUUUAAUAUAUAGGAGCAUUAAAGUACUGAUAGGUGUAGAGAUGAAAUUCGUUGAUACCAUAUAUGGCACAGGUUUAGGUGGAAGCAUCUCCUUAUGUAAAAACUGACGUUCAGGUACGAAGGCUAUGUGCAGCAAACAGGAUUAGAUACCCUGGUAGUUUUAGCAGAAAAUGAUGAAUGUCAUAGGAUAGACUAUGUUUAUUUUAUAAAUGAAAGUGUAAGCAUUCUACCUCAUGAGUAAUUUGGCAACAUUGGAAUUGAAAUCAUUAGACCGUUUCUGAUAUAAGCAGUGAAGUAUGUUGUUUAAUUUGAUGAUCCGCAAAAAACCUUACCACACUUUGAAUAUUGCUUUAUGUUUUAAAUUUUGAUAGAGUAUUACAAGCGCUGCACGGUUGUCUUCAGUUUAUGUCGUGAGACUCUGGUUAACUCCUCUUAAUAAACGUAAACCCUUAUUUUAUUUAUUAAUAAUUUAGAUCCCCUUUAGAUUGGAUAUGAUACAAGGGACUAAGACAAAUCAUCAUGGCCUAAAUAGUGUGGGCUAU